UCGAACCUUCAAAGAACAGACACAGAUCAUCACACACUGACCGUGAACACAACACAGAGGCUGACACUGACGCACACACACACUCACACACAAACACGUGGUGAUCCGAGCACACACCUUAAAACACAGAAAAUACUAAAAAACUACAAGCACCACGACAACGACUGAAAAACAACAAAUAAGAAGCCAAAGUCAGGCGGUCUCGUCCCCCGUUCUCCCCGUUACGCCCUCCUAACCCGCUGUCCGGUGCCCAUUUUUUCCGGCGUACAAAAACCUCAAAAUCGGUACGGCAAGAGAGAAAUGGCAAAAGGUUGAAUGCGGUAAGAUCUGGAUGAGGAGGAGUCGCAGCAGCGCAGGGCUGGCUACAGAAAAAGUGUGUUUGUGACCGAGCAAAGGAAAGGGUGGUGUUUCUUUUUUUCUUUUUUUUUUUUGGUGCUUCAUUCUGCUUGGCUUUUUUGGAUCCCAGCAGGAUCCUUGGCUGCAUCUCCUGUCUCUUCUUAGAGCUGCCAAAAAUUUGGACAUAUCCCUUUGUCUUACACUCUGUUGCAUCAAAUCAAAUUGAGAGAUGAGAAAAGAUAAUAAUUUAAAACGAGACAAGGAAAAAAAGGGGGGAAAGAAAGGAAGGAAGGAGCCGGCCAACAAAAAGUGGAGUUAUUAAAGAAAAGGGCACAGCAUGAGUGAGAGGAGAGAGGAGAGGAGGAGAGAGGAGAGAGGAGGAGAGAGGAGGAGAGAGGAGGCUUAGCAGCUGAAUGCAAGAAACAAAAAUUCAUUUAAAAAAAAGGGAAGAAAAAGAUUUCUCGUCUGAAUUUUUUCAUGUUAUCUCCAAAGAAGCUUGAGCUGCAGAACGUUUCUUCUCUGCUGCUACAAACAGCAGCCGAAGCCUUUUCCAAGCUCUGCCACGUAGUGAGAGAGGAGAGAGGGAGAGAGGGAGAGAGGGAAGCAGACACUUUUCCUCUCUCCAAAAUGGCUGAGGGCCGGGAGCAGAGCUGGAGCCCCCGUCCCGCUCAGGGGAGGGCUGAGGCCAUUCAGGCAGAGCAUCUCUCCCCGUCUCCCCUCUCCUCUGCUCGCUCUGCCCUUUGUCCCGUUAGUCGUGUUUCAGCCCGGGCGAGCGGCGCACAGCUGUGCUGUCGGUCCAUGAGAAACUGGACCUGGCCCGGCGAGCAGGGAAAGCUCACACGGCUUAUUGUGCCCGACAUGGCCACGUCUGAUCUGCACACUGUUGUUACCCAUGUGGCGGUGCCGAAGAGACAGCAGAGCGACCGACCCCAGAACCAGAACAAGGUGACCCGUUAAAGCCCGACAGAACCCGAGACAACCCAGAUGAAGAGCGACAUUGACAAGUUUGGUCUGAUUCCCGCCUCCUGUGAACGCGACAUAGUGACUAAUAAUUAACCGGCUCGGUUAAUGAUUAGUUAGUUAGUUGAGAAACUUUGUGAGAGACUUCUUGCUGCAGUGUCGGGCGUAGUCUCCGUCCUCCACCCUAAAUGUUGCAUGUGCUCCACCUUUAAUAAACGGCAGCUCGCCUGAGCGCGAUGACCUUUAAAAGCCGAUACAGCUCCAACGUCUUCAAACAUCGUCAGGACUCUUCACGUUUCCAGCUCGGCUGUCUCUGCUCGCCGCCUCUAACCACACUCACACUUCGACCUUCAGACACUGUGUCGCUGACAACACGAGCUCAUCUCCUGCAUCACGAGCUGAAUUUAUUAUUUCAUGUUCUGUUCUGAAGAUGCUGAAUGUUCAUUUCACAGCCAAGUUUUAAAUUGAAACUACACUUGAAAUUAUUAUUAUUAAAUUAUUUUCAUUCUGGAUUCACCUGCAGAUUUUUUUCUCAAUAAAUCUGUAAAAAACUAAAAAUAAAUAAAUUUAAAAAACGGUCCAGAACCAGAGUGUGAAUGUUUCUCCUGUCAGAACAUUCGGACCUCUCUGCUUCAAACUUCAGUGAUCGUCGAGUCCUGACGGAUAAAAAUCAAAUCACCUCUCGAUAGUUUUGGGCUCGUCAGCUGAUCGUGGAAACAAAUCAAUGAAAAAAUACAAAAAUAUGAAGAACCAUGAAUUUAUGACCAGAACCACAGGUCCACUUCCUCUUCCUGUCUGUGACUCAGUGAAGUCAAAAGGAACCGACGACAGCUCUGAUCACGUUCUUCAACAGAACCAUCUGAUUUAAAACCAGAACCAGAAACGGUUCUUUACAGGAGAACCAUUAAACGGUUCUUUACAGGAGAACAUUAAACGGUUCUUUACAGGAGAACUGUUCUUUAAGAACAUUUUUGAUGGACUUCUUUGUUGGUUCCAGUGAGCACCAACAGGUUUUUAGUGUGUACUGUAUGAUAGUAAUUUUGAUAAAUCACUUCUUUGGUAUUUCUGUGUUUGUGUUCACAGCUGAGUCAGAGCUGCAGGAAGUUUAAACUAAACUGGAAAAAGACGUCAGACAGAACCAGUGUCCGUCAUGAACUCUGAGUGUGUCCGUCAUGAACUGAGUGUGUCCGUCAUGAACUCUGAGUGUGUCCGUCAUGAACUCUGAGUGUGUCCGUCAUGAACUCUGAGUGUGUCCGUCAUGAACUCUGAGUGUGUCCGUCAUGAACUCUGAGUGUGUCCGUCAUGAACUCUGAGUGUGUCCGUCAUGAACUCUGAGUGUGUCCGUCAUGAACUCUGAGUGUGUCCGUCAUGAACUCUGAGUGUGUCCGUCAUGAACUCUGAGUGUGUCCGUCAUGAACUCUGAGUGUGUCCGUCAUGAACUCUGAGUGUGUCCGUCAUGAACUCUGAGUGUGUCCGUCAUGAACUCUGAGUGUGUCCGUCAUGAACUCUGAGUGUGUCCGUCAUGAACUCUGAGUGUGUCCGUCAUGAACUCUGAGUGUGUCCGUCAUGAACUCUGAGUGUGUCCGUCAUGAACUCUGAGUGUGUCCGUCAUGAACUCUGAGUGUGUCCGUCAUGAACUCUGAGUGUGUCCGUCAUGAACUCUGAGUGUGUCCGUCAUGAACUCUGAGUGUGUCCGUCAUGAACUCUGAGUGUGUCCGUCAUGAACUCUGAGUGUGUCCGUCAUGAACUCUGAGUGUGUCCGUCAUGAACUCUGAGUGUGUCCGUCAUGAACUCUGAGUGUGUCCGUCAUGAACUCUGAGUGUGUCCGUCAUGAACUCUGAGUGUGUCCGUCAUGAACUCUGAGUGUGUCCGUCAUGAACUCUGAGUGUGUCCGUCAUGAACUCUGAGUGUGUCCGUCAUGAACUCUGAGAGUGUCCGUCAUGAACUCUGAGAGUGUCCGUCAUGAACUGAGAGUGUCCGUCAUGAACUCUGAGAGUGUCCGUCAUGAACUGAGUGUGUCCGUCAUGAACUCUGAGAGUGUCCGUCAUGAACUCUGAGUGUGUCGUCACGUGCACGAGGACGACAUGCUGUAAAUGUGCGCAGGUCGGAUCAGUGUGUCUUUGUUCAGCAGCUGUAUUUAUUACUGUACAUUUUCAUUCAGGUGUGCUCGUACGUCUUUGCUUCUUAAUGUUUCAGUCCAUUCUUUCCCCUCUCCACCCUCUCCACCCUCCCUCCGUCAUCUCACCCAUCUCUUGCAGUUGCUUGUCCCUCGCUGUUCCCUCCUCUCGCUCCCCCCAUCAAAUAUUCUGCUCACGCACAACUGCGGCACCCUUUCUCCAGUCCUCCCCAUUAAUCCACACCACAGACAUCUUGGCCCACUGUCUCGUCUCAGAGUCUGACGGUGCCUCAGCGUUUUUCACAGGCCGUGAGGCCGAACAUGCCGUUCACUGUGCACACACACUUGUAGUAUAUCACACCCACUGAAUACCGCUGAUUAGAAAACGUAAGACGCCACCGUGCACGCCAAAGGAAAGGUCAUAUGAGGAUAAGAGGCACUCCACCACACACACACACAGAGUAUAUAACCUGUAUGUUCAGCCAUGCAGCACAAGCGGAUGGCGAGCCUCAGCCGGGUCGGGCCGGCUCCGGAUGCUUUUUAAAGACGCUGGCUUCGAGUCAGAAAACAACUGUUCUGCUGCGUCCUGACAAAAUCUGAGUUCAUGAUGCGACUGCUGAAUUUAGUUUUUUUGUGUUUGUUGUGAAGAAAAAAGCACAUCUAAAUAAAGAUCUGACACAUUUAAAUAAAUGAGAUUAUUACUGGACUGUUCUCUCUGGUCAUUAUCUUCACAGUCACGGUCCUCAUGCUGGACGUGCUGCAGUACUGUGACAAAGUCAAAGAAUCCGUUCUGGGUGGCACGCGGCGUCUUAAGGAGCCGGAGAAGGAGCGAGCACAAUGACAUAGCAGGGGAGGAAGAGUGCGGAUGGAGGAAGAGCCUCAAACCAGAGCUCGACAUCUGGAAAGAGCUUUUCUUUCUCUCUUGGUUUUGUGCUUAAUGUUGGCACAGCGGCAGAAUGUAGACAGGUGGAAACAGUUUGAUGAUGAGGACGAUGAGUUUACAUUCCUUAUCUGAAAUAAGGAUCCAGAGAUAUUUUCCAGCAGUGUUUCAAACUAGCCCACCGAGCCUCAUCAGCCACCCUCCUCCUGCCAUUUCAGAGCCUUGUUCCCUCCCCUCCUCCUCCCUCCUCCUCCCUCCUUCUCUCCCAUUCAUUCAGUUUAAUUUUGAACUCUGCACUGGUAGACAGGCAGAGAGGGUAGCUCCAUGGUUACCUGGCACCAGGCCAUCUCAUUACACUGCCAAUUGAUUCUGGCCUGCCGCCAUGUCCGCUGCCUACCUCCCCCCGCACCCCGCACCAUCCACCAUGCACCAUGCACCAUCCUCCAUCCACCAUCAUCCAUCCACCAUCCUCCAUCUCUGCACCCCAGACUGUCUGCAGCAAACGGAGGUUUCAGAACACACAGGAAGGAAAGAGGCUUCGCUCAGCGUAAAACCUGCAACGCUCGAGCCCCCAAACAGCAACGAGUCCAACAUUUACACACUUACUGUCACCUGAUCGUCUCAUUAAAAAUGAAAUAUGCAUCCUGUUCGGGUAAAUAAGAAUUUUUGUCUGAGUGAAAACAAUUAAAAAAAAUAAAGAGACGAAAGUAUUCAGCAGAAAAUUAAACAGUCAGACGUGUUUGAACAGAUCAAGAAUAACUAUAA